rnacentral:rRNA from 1 species
UACGGAGGGUGCAAGCGUUAAUCGGAAUUACUGGGCGUAAAGCGCACGCAGGUGGCUGAGUCAGUCGAUUGUGAAAGCCCUGGGCUUAACCUGGGAAUUGCAGUCGAUACUACUCAGCUAGAGUAUGGGAGAGGGUAGUGGAAUUCCCGGUGUAGCGGUGAAAUGCGUAGAUAUCGGGAGGAACAUCAGUGGCGAAGGCGGCUACCUGGCCCAAUACUGACACUGAGGAGCGAAAGCCAGGGGAGCAAACGGG